GACGAACGCUGGCGGCGUGCCUAAUACAUGCAAGUCGAGCGGACUUGAUGGAGCUUGCUCCUGAUAGUCAGCGGCGGACGGGUGAGUAACACGUGGGCAACCUGCCUGUAAGACUGGGAUAACUUCGGGAAACCGGAGCUAAUACCGGAUACGUUCUUUUCUCGCAUGAGAGAAGAUGGAAAGACGGUUUCGGCUGUCACUUACAGAUGGGCCCGCGGCGCAUUAGCUAGUUGGUGGGGUAAUGGCUCACCAAGGCGACGAUGCGUAGCCGACCUGAGAGGGUGAUCGGCCACACUGGGACUGAGACACGGCCCAGACUCCUACGGGAGGCAGCAGUAGGGAAUCUUCCGCAAUGGACGAAAGUCUGACGGAGCAACGCCGCGUGAGUGAAGAAGGUUUUCGGAUCGUAAAACUCUGUUGUCAGGGAAGAACAAGUACCAUAGUAACUGAUGGUACCUUGACGGUACCUGACCAGAAAGCCACGGCUAACUACGUGCCAGCAGCCGCCGUAACAC
rnacentral:rRNA from 1 species